rnacentral:misc_RNA from 1 species
GAGAAGCCAAACAAGGUUUCAUUAUUGUAGCUUUCACAUGGAUCCAUUUUCUAUUGCGGUAAUUGGUGCAGGCAUAGGGGCUCUUGCUACGUUAGCUGCUGCAGUACCCCCGGCUGCCACAUUUAUUUACAAUGCUGCGAAAGAUUCAUUAACCUCAAUUGAUUACAUAAGGAAACUUGACCAUAACCGUGAAAAGCUGGAAAAGGAAUUAGAGGAACUCAUUGCUUUUGCAAAUGAUAUUGAUCAGGGCCGUGUCAAGAAAGAGGAGUUAAAAAAUACCAGCAUUUACAAGGUAUGGAGGACCAGGUUAUCGGAGAUUGAAGCAGAAGUGAAAGCUUCGACUCGUGAACAUGAAAGGAUUAAAGAGAAGCCUGGAAAGAAAUUUUAUGGUGAUAAACGGAAACUUGGCAAACAAAUGGUGAACAAGCUUGAGGAAGUUACUAAGCAUAUAGAAAAAGGUUGGUCUAUAAUUAAAAACUAUUGAAGGAGAUUAUUUAUUGAACAAAAGAUGGGAGGAUUUCCUUUCUACCUGCAAUUACUAAUUGCAGGUGUAAUAAUGAAUAUAAUUUCAUUUUAUAAGUUGAAAGCUAGUUUGUAGAAAGCUCGGCUAAAAUCAGUUGCUUUAUGGCCGUAGUGCUUUAUGGCACCAUUUGUAAUGCUUAUUGUCUUGUUU